rnacentral:lncRNA from 1 species
UUUACAUGUUCAUGUAAGUAUUUAACAUCAGGAUUGAACAGGAGUGUGCUGUUACCACCAACUUUAAUGCUGAGCAUUUUUAAGCAGAGGUUUAUUGCAGGGAUAUAGUAUAUUGUGGUUUUACUCAGAGACAGCAUUUAACUAAUGAGGUCAAUUGUCUCUGUUAAUAGAGGAUGCGUUAAGGUAAAGAGAAUAGCUAAGUAAGCACCAAAAAAUCUUGGAUUUCUCCAGAUAACAAGUGGAUGAAUUGUAAAAUGAGGACCAUGUUAAGAACAGGGUUCAACUUCUCUGUCCUGCCCUCAGCACCUAAGUAGCAGAAUAUAGGAUCAGCUGAAUGGCAAGCUGAAUGGAGAAUUUCCUCAUUACUGUAUUGCCAGUGCAGACUAGACAGUCCGAGGGAGAUGCUCGAAAACCUCCAAAAUUAAUUCUGGGAGUUAUGGUCGAGAAGUUGGGGCUAAAGAAAGUUGGAUUUGCUGAGCCUUCUGUAAGGUAUUCACUUUAUUGAAGAUGGUUUUGCAGCUUGCAAAAUGCUUGUAACAGACUUGUGGGAUACAGAAGUCAUGUUUUCAAGCUUGUGAAUGCUGGAUUACUCCUCUCUACAGACAGGGGAGUUCAAGUAGCCUCAUGAGCUCUGAUGGCUGGUACUCAUCUGUGGUUUAUCCUCAGUACAGAGACAAUUUGCUUGGACAAAUACCAAUGAGAAAGCAUCAGCCUUUGCAUCCAGCAGCUGUCCACAGUUCCUCUCUGUUUCAGUGAUCACAAGUUAAAAGAAAAAUUCAUCUUCAUGUCAAGCUUUUUCUUCACUCUAGAAGGUUGUAAAAAGUAGAAUGAUACUUCCAUGGGUGUGCAGCAGAAUUGCUAAACUAUGACUUAAGAGAGGUGAGGAAAAAGAGAAAAUUAUAAAGAAAUGACCUAGAGCUAUAAAAGAAUGAGCUCCAAGCACAGACUGAUACAUUAAAACCCUGUUAGGAAUAGGUCUGCACUGGCAUCCCACACCUUGUCCUGCUCCGGGGACAAGUGGCACUGCCUCUCUGUCUGGGAAAGCUGCUGGCAAUGUCUGCUCAUUGGGCACUGGGCCACCAGCAUAUCUGGGAGCAUUUUGAUCUAUAGACCAAUUUUAUUAAGAUAAUGGUGUAAGUAUACAUGAAAAAC